rnacentral:rRNA from 1 species
GAGUUUGAUCGUGGCUCAGGACGAACGCUGGCGGCGUGCUUAACACAUGCAAGUCGAGCGGAAAGGCCCUUUCGGGGGUACUCGAGCGGCGAACGGGUGAGUAACACGUGAGCAACCUGCCCCUUGCUUUGGGAUAACCCUCGGAAACGGGGGCUAAUACCGAAUGGUCACCACUGGUCGCAUGGUUGGUGGUGGAAAGUUUUUCGGCUGGGGAUGGGCUCGCGGCCUAUCAGCUUGUUGGUGAGGUGAUGGCCUACCAAGGCGACGACGGGUAGCCGGCCUGAGAGGGCGACCGGCCACACUGGGACUGAGACACGGCCCAGACUCCUACGGGAGGCAGCAGUGGGGAAUAUUGCACAAUGGGCGGAAGCCUGAUGCAGCGACGCCGCGUGAGGGAAGACGGCCUCGGUUGUAACCUCUUUCAGAUCCGACGAAGACGCAAGUGACGGUAGGGUCGAGAAGAAGACGCCGGCCAAC